UACGAAGGGGGCUAGCGUUGUUCGGAAUUACUGGGCGUAAAGCGCACGUAGGCGGUUCGUUAAGUCGGAUGUGAAAGCCCUCGGCUCAACUGAGGAAGUGCACCCGAAACUGGCGAGCUUGAGUACGAAAGAGGAUCGCGGAAUUCCCGGUGUAGAGGUGAAAUUCGUAGAUAUGGGGAGGAACACCGGUGGCGAAGGCGGCGAUCUGGGUCGAUACUGACGCUGAGGUGCGAAAGCGUGGGGAGCAAACAGG
rnacentral:rRNA from 1 species